GAUGAAGAACGUAGCGAAAUGCGAUAAGUAGUGUGAAUUGCAGAAUUCAGUGAAUCAUCGAAUCUUUGAACGCACAUUGCGCCCUUUGGUAUUCCAAAGGGCAUGCCUGUUCGAGCGUCAUUUGUACCCUCAAGCUUUGCUUGGUGUUGAGCGUCUUGUCUCUAGCUUUGCUGGAGACUCGCCUUAAAGUAAUUGGCAGCCGGCCUACUGGUUUCGGAGCGCAGCACAAGUCGCACUCUCUAUCAGCAAAGGUCUAGCAUCCAUUAAGCCUUUUUUUCUCAACUUUUGACCUCGGAUCAGGUAGGGAUACCCGCUGAACUUAAGCAUAUCAAUAAGCGGAGGA
rnacentral:misc_RNA from 1 species